rnacentral:rRNA from 1 species
AUGCACGCUAGCUACAGGCUUAACACCUGCAAGUCGAGGGGAAACGACAUCGAAAGCUUGCUUUUGAUGGGCGUCGACCGGCGCACGGGUGAGUAACGCGUAUCCAACCUGCCCAUCACUUGGGAAUAACCUUGCGAAAGUAAGACUAAUACCCAAUGACAUCCCACGAAGACAUCUGAAUGGGAUUAAAGAUUUAUCGGUGAUGGAUGGGGAUGCGUCUGAUUAGCUUGUUGGCGGGGUAACGGCCCACCAAGGCAACGAUCAGUAGGGGUUCUGAGAGGAAGGUCCCCCACAUUGGAACUGAGACACGGUCCAAACUCCUACGGGAGGCAGCAGUGAGGAAUAUUGGUCAAUGGGCGAGAGCCUGAACCAGCCAAGUAGCGUGCAGGAUGACGGCCCUAUGGGUUGUAAACUGCUUUUAUAAGGGAAUAAAGUGGGUCUCGGGAGACUUUUUGCAUGUACCUUAUGAAUAAGGACCGGCUAAUUCCGUG